UGCCUAAACUCUGAAAAAAUCAGAGCAUGGUAAUAAACCUACAGAAGAAACGAGAGCUCCUCGUCUAUUAACCUUCUGUAGGUCAUAAAUCGAAAGGUUUAUGGAUUUUUUCGAAAGAUUAAAUC
rnacentral:sRNA from 1 species